CCUCCCUGUCCUCUCAGGGUAUCACCCUCCAGGAACACAUGACCAGCUGUGCUAGAGCUGUCCGAACCCUGACCUCUGAGGUUUCUGUGGAGACAUCUGUACAGAUGUCAAGAAGAUGCCGAGGUGCGGCCCGCCCAAUCCUGCCCACAACUCCCAGGAUCUGAGAGCAGCUGAGCAUGUGCGCCCGGGCGUCUGGCUUCUGAAUGGAAGGAGACAUGACAGGAUCUCACUGUGUGGCCCUGGAUGGCCUGGAACUCACUGUUGGCCUCAAACUCACAGAGACAGGUUCAUCUGCCUUCCUACUUCUGGAACUAAAGACAUAUGCCAUCAUGCCCAGCCAAUUAAA